rnacentral:lncRNA from 1 species
CUCCUCUGAGAGGCUCUACCCAGCAGUUGACUGAAGCAGAUGCAGAUAUACAGAGCCAAGCAUUGGAUGGAGGUCGGGGACUUUUAUGGAAGAGCUGGGGGAAGGAUUGAAGGAACUGAAGGGGAUGAAGGGGAUGGCAGCCCAAUAGGAAGAUCAACAGGGUCUACUAACCAGGAGCCCUGGGAACUCGCAGAGUUCUGAGAGACUGAGCCACCAACCAAAGCACACACACAAGCUGGGACGAGGCCCUCAGCACGUUCCACAUGUAGGUUCAUCACUUCAUUCUCUGAACCCAAGCCAUGGUGCCUGGCUUUCCCCAUGGAUGCGCUGUCCAGGUGCUGUUGAUUGACAUGAGGCAUCCCUUCACAUUACAUCAUCUUGUGUUUGGCCUUUAACCUGAGGUAACUGGGGAGGAGUUUAGCCUGAAGGUCAGAAGCUUGGGGCAUUGCCUACAUGACUACUGACCAUGCUUCUCUUGUGGGGGCUGAGGGGUUGGUAACUUAGACAGGAGCCAGAGUUCCAGGAGACAUGAGAGAGAGAACUCCUUCCGUCCCAUGUAGGUGAAUUAUACUACCAGGUCCCGGGGUUCCAGCUCGACUGGAGAUCAGACUGUCUGUGUAUAGUCCAAUGCCCCACAAUACCUGUGUGUAGAUCUGUGCACUGUGUGCAUGCCUGGCUCUGAGAGGCCAGAAGAGGGUGCUGGAUCUCCUGGGACUGGAGUUAUAGAAAGUGGAAAACCCUUGUGCUCUGGCCUGGUAACUCCUUGCUUGUAUCCAGAUUCCCAAAGGGACUUCGGAGUGCUCCUCUCUUGCUUUCUCGUCUCCUUUUUGGACAUUAAGUGUUGCUUUGUAGCCCAGGCUGCUUUUGAAUCUCCUCAGUCUCAAUGCUGGGAUUCAAGGUGGGCUUUAGCCACA